rnacentral:rRNA from 1 species
ACGUACACUCCUACGGGAGGCAGCAGUGGGGAAUUUUGGACAAUGGGCGAAAGCCUGAUCCAGCCAUGCCGCGUGCAGGAUGAAGGCCUUCGGGUUGUAAACUGCUUUUGUACGGAACGAAACGGCCUUUUCUAAUAAAGAGGGCUAAUGACGGUACCGUAAGAAUAAGCACCGGCUAACUACGUGCCAGCAGCCGCGGUAAUACGUAGGGUGCAAGCGUUAAUCGGAAUUACUGGGCGUAAAGCGUGCGCAGGCGGUUAUGUAAGACAGUUGUGAAAUCCCCGGGCUCAACCUGGGAACUGCAUCUGUGACUGCAUAGCUAGAGUACGGUAGAGGGGGAUGGAAUUCCGCGUGUAGCAGUGAAAUGCGUAGAUAUGCGGAGGAACACCGAUGGCGAAGGCAAUCCCCUGGACCUGUACUGACGCUCAUGCACGAAAGCGUGGGGAGCAAACAGGAUUAGAAAUCCCUGUAGUCCCAUG